AUGGAAUUAAGAUUUCCCAGGUUUAGCCAAGGCUUAGCUCAGGACCCCACUACUCGUCGUAUUUGGUUUGGUAUUGCUACCGCACAUGAUUUCGAAAGUCAUGAUGAUAUUACUGAAGAACGUCUUUAUCAGAACAUUUUUGGUUCUCACUUUGGGCAAUUAGCAAUAAUCUAUCUAUGGACAUCCGAAAAUCUGUUUCAUGUAGCUUGGCAAGGAAAUUUUGAAUCAUGGAUACAUGAUCCUUUACACGUAAGACCUAUUGCUCAUGCAAUUUGGGAUCCUCAUUUUGGUCAACCCGCUGUGGAAGCCUUUACUCGAGGAGGUGUUGCUGGUCCAGUAAAUAUUGCUUAUUCUGGAGUUUAUCAGUGGUGGUAUACAAUAGGAUUACGCACCAAUGAGGAUCUUUAUACUGGAGCUCUUUUUCUAUUAUUUCUUUCUACGUUGUCCUUAAUAGCGGGUUGGUUACAUCUACAACCCAAAUGGAAACCAAGCCUUUCAUGGUUCAAAAAUGCAGAAUCCCGUCUCGAUCAUCAUUUGUUAGGACUUUUCGGGGUAAGUUCUUUGGCUUGGACAGGACAUCUAGUUCAUGUUGCUAUUCCCGCAUCCAGGGGGAGUACGUUCGAUGGAAUAAUUUCUUAG
rnacentral:rRNA from 1 species